AUUUGGUGUAUCACUUUCAUAGAUUGAUGUAUGUCGAACCAUACUUGUAUCCCUGGGAUAAAUCCCACUUGAUCAUGUUAAAUGUUCCUUUUAAUGUGCUUGUGAGUUCAAUUUGCUAGUCUUUGGUACUAGGGACUAAACCCGGAGUCAUUUUACCACUGAGCAACAUAUCAGCUGUUUUUUUAGGGCCUCACUGAACUGAGGGGUUGGCCCAAACUUGUGUUCCUGCUGCCUAAGCCUCCUGAGUCUCUGGGAUUACGAGCAUGCACCACCACACCCAGAUUCUCAGAAUAUAUUUUAAUUUCACUUUUAUUGUCUUCCUUGAGCCAUUAGUGUUUAUGAUCAUGUUUUUUUAAUUUCCACAUAAUUUAAACUUUUCUAGCAUUCUUCCUGUUAUUGAUUUCCAGGAUCAUAAUGCUAUAGACAGAAAGGAUACAUUAUUUAAUUUCAGUCUUCUAACAUUAGCUAAAACUUGCUGUGUGACUAAACAUAUCUUGGGCAAGGUUUUGUGUGCACUUGAGAAUGUGUAUUCUGCUGCUGUUGGAUGGGGUGUUGUGUAUGUGUCUAUUAGAUCUGUUUGUUGUAAAGUUAAUUCCAGCCUAAAGUUUCCUGACUCUUCUGUCAGGAUGAUCUGUCUACUGUUGGAAAUAGGGUAUGGAAGACCUUGCUAUUGCUGUAUUGCUGUCUAUUUUUCUCCAUAUUCAUUAAUAUUUGCUGAAUUUAUUUAGGUGCUCUGAUGUCAGGGGUGGCAAAUAUAUUUACAAAUAAUAAAUUAUCUUGAGGAAUUGAUACCUUUACGAUUAUAGAAUGACCUUUGCUUUUUCCACAGGUUUCAAAUUCUAUUUUGUCUCAUAGAUGUAGCUGCUUCUGUCUGGAAUAUUUUUCCCCUCCCUUUACUUUUCUAUGUCUGUCCUUAAGGCUAAAGUGUGUUAGUGUGUUUCUUGCAAGGAACAUAUUACUGGAAUUUUUUUUUGUUUUUGUUUUUGUACCAGGGAUUGAACUCAGGGGCAUUUAACCAUUCG
rnacentral:lncRNA from 1 species